UACGUAGGGCGCAAGCGUUAUCCGGAAUUACUGGGCGUAAAGAGUGUGUAGGCGGUGUUCUAAGUUUGUCGUGAAAUCUCCCGGCUUAACUGGGAGGGUGCGGCGAAAACUGGAAUGCUAGAGGAUGGGAGAGGUAAGCGGAAUUCCUGGUGUAGCGGUGAAAUGCGUAGAUAUCAGGAGGAACACCUGUGGUGUAGACAGCUUACUGGACCAUUUCUGACGCUGAGACACGAAAGCGUGGGUAGCAAACAGG
rnacentral:rRNA from 1 species